rnacentral:rRNA from 1 species
UAUGACUCUCGGCAACGGAUAUCUCGGCUCUCGCAUCGAUGAAGAACGUAGCGAAAUGCGAUACGUGGUGUGAAUUGCAGAAUCCCGUGAACCAUCAAGUCUUUGAACGCAAGUUGCGCCCGAGGGACCCUCCCGAGGGCACGCCUGCCUCAUGGGC